rnacentral:tRNA from 1 species
CGGGUCGUUAGCUCAGUUGGUAGAGCAGUUGACUUUUAAUCAAUUGGUCGCAGGUUCGAAUCCUGCACGACCCACCA